rnacentral:rRNA from 1 species
GACGAAGGGGGCAAGCGUUGUUCGGAAUUACUGGGCGUAAAGGGCGCGUAGGCGGCUCUUUUAGUCAGGUGUGAAAGUCCAGGGCUCAACCCUGGGAUGCCGGUCGAUACUGCCGGACUAGAGUUCGGAAGAGGCGAGUGGAAUUCCCGGUGUAGCGGUGAAAUGCGUAGAUAUCAAGAGGAACACCUGAGGCGAAGGCGGGUUGCUAGGCUGACACUGACGCUGAAGCGCGAAAGCCAGGGGAGCAAACGGG